GAUGAACGCUGGCGGCGUGCCUAAUACAUGCAAGUCGAGCGAACAGACGAGGAGCUUGCUCCUCUGACGUUAGCGGCGGACGGGUGAGUAACACGUGGAUAACCUACCUAUAAGACUGGGAUAACUUCGGGAAACCGGAGCUAAUACCGGAUAAUAUAUUGAACCGCAUGGUUCAAUAGUGAAAGACGGUUUUGCUGUCACUUAUAGAUGGAUCCGCGCCGCAUUAGCUAGUUGGUAAGGUAACGGCUUACCAAGGCAACGAUGCGUAGCCGACCUGAGAGGGUGAUCGGCCACACUGGAACUGAGACACGGUCCAGACUCCUACGGGAGGCAGCAGUAGGGAAUCUUCCGCAAUGGGCGAAAGCCUGACGGAGCAACGUCGCGUGAGCGAUGAAGGUCUUCGGAUCGUAAAACUCUGUUAUUAGGGAAGAACAAAUGUGUAAGUAACUAUGCACGUCUUGACGGUACCUAAUCAGAAAGCCACGGCUAACUACGUG
rnacentral:rRNA from 1 species